AGAGUUUGAUCCUGGCUCAGGAUGAACGCUGGCGGCGUGCCUAACACAUGCAAGCCGAGCGAUUUUACUUCGGUAAAGAGCGGCGGACGGGUGAGUUACGCGUGGGUAACCUGCCCUGUACACACGGAUAACAUACCGAAAGGUAUGCUAAUACGAGAUAACAUACUUUUAUCGCAUGGUAGAAGUAUCAAAGCUUUUGCGGUACAGGAUGGACCCGCGUCUGAUUAGCUAGUUGGUAAGGUAACGGCUUACCAAGGCGACGAUCAGUAGCCGACCUGAGAGGGUGAUCGGCCACAUUGGAACUGAGACACGGUCCAAACUCCUACGGGAGGCAGCAGUGGGGAAUAUUGCACAAUGGGCGAAAGCCUGAUGCAGCAACGCCGCGUGAGCGAUGAAGGCCUUCGGGUCGUAAAGCUCUGUCCUCAAGGAAGAUAAUGACGGUACUUGAGGAGGAAGCCCCGGCUAACUACGUGCCAGCAGCCGCGGUAAUACGUAGGGGGCUAGCGUUAUCCGGAAUUACUGGGCGUAAAGGGUGCGUAGGUGGUUUCUUAAGUCAGGGGUGAAAGGCUACGGCUCAACCGUAGUAAGCCUUUGAAACUGGGAAACUUGAGUGCAGGAGAGGAGAGUGGAAUUCCUAGUGUAGCGGUGAAAUGCGUAGAUAUUAGGAGGAACACCAGUUGCGAAGGCGGCUCUCUGGACUGUAACUGACACUGAGGCACGAAAGCGUGGGGAGCAAACAGGAUUAGAUACCCUGGUAGUCCACGCCGUAAACGAUGAGUACUAGCUGUCGGAGGUUACCCCCUUCGGUGGCGCAGCU
rnacentral:rRNA from 1 species